UUUUCAACAACUUCUUCCACAGUUUCAGACAACACUGUCUCGUUCGUUAUUUCUUCAGACAACUCCGAUUCAGCCUCGUUUAGUAUUGCCACAUCAGCUUCCCCCUCGAUAGCUUCUUCACCACUCUCGGACAAAGAUACCUGAUUAGCUACUUCUUCAGACACCACAGAUUCACCCUCAUUUAGUAUCGCCACAUCAGCUUCCUUCUCGACAACUUCUUCACCGCUCUCAGCCAAUAUUGUCUGAUCAGCUACUUCUUCAGACAACUCAGGUUCACCCUCGUUUAUUAUUGCCACAUCAGCUUCCGCCUCGACAACUUCUUCACCGCUCUCAGACAAUACUGUCUGAUCAGCUACUUCUUCAGCCAACUCAGGUUCACCCUCGUUUAUUAUUGCCACAUCAGCUUCCUUCUCGAUGACAUCAUCACUCACCACUACAGAGGCUGCCGCCUCUAUUCCCUGUACCUCUUCUUUCUUGUCUUCAAUCGAUUCAUCAU
rnacentral:lncRNA from 1 species